GCUGCAGCCAAUCAGAGGCAAUCAAGCACACAAGAGGCCUGAUGGGCCACACAGGCGGGUGCACCCACAGGCACCAGAGCUGGCCCCUCAGUCAGGGAGACGUCAAAGCCGCCAGGACGAGUCAAAGUAAUAUGCCUGCGACCGGCACGUGGACUUUUAUUUCUUCCCCCUCCACGCUCCAGAGCUGCUCCUGCGGCGUGGAGAGAUAAAUAUUUUAAAUAGCGACACUUUGGCGAUGCACAGUUAUGCAAGACAAGGAAUAAUUAGAAAAUAAAUUACUUUUUUUAAA